rnacentral:rRNA from 1 species
AUGCUCCCAUGGGCGGCCACGGCCUCCUCCGCCGCCGCCGCCGCCCUUCUCCAUGCCUCUCCGCGCCCCGCUUCACACCGCGCUGCACUACCUCACUACCGUCCAUCUCCCUCUCUUCCGCCGCCGCUCUCAAUUGCCUUCCGGGCCCCGGCACGUGUCCUCCCUCGCGGCGGCGACGCCUUCUGGGAGGAGCCAGACGACGGCUCCGGGAGCGACUACGAAGAUAACGGAAAGCAAGCGACCGUACAAAGAAGCUCUCCUUUCCCUUCCCCCUUACCGCUCUCCAGGCUCGUUGCAAGGCGGCAGCAGGAGCGUGAAGAGCAGGAGCUCCGGAGAGAAAUCGAGCUUCUCUUAACGCCGGAAGAAGAGGCUAUCUUGGAUCAGAAUGAGACAGCUGAUGUCACCAAAAUAUCAUCACCCAAAUGGCAUCCGCUUCAUACAUACGCGUUGGCGCUGCAGAUACCUCUCAUGGACAAGCUGCUGGACAAUGGUGUUGAUAUUGAUUUAGUUGAUAAAGAUGGUUUUACUCCUCUUCACAAGGCGAUAAUAGGCAAAAAGGAGGCUGUCAUUAGCCAUCUCCUAAGAAAAGGAGCAAAUCCUCAUGUCACAGAUAGGGAUGGAGCCACGCCACUACAUUAUGCAGUUCAAGUUGGUGCCCUGCAAACCGUGAAGCUGCUGAUUAAGUACAGGGUCGAUGUUAACGUUGCUGAUGUUGAUGGCUGGACACCACUGCAUUUAGCGGUACAGAGUAGAAAUCGAGAUAUAACAAAGAUAUUGCUUGUCAAUGGUGCUGAUCAGACAAGAAGAACCAAUGGUGGGAAAACUCCAUUGGACCUGAGCCUAUGUUUCGGAAGGGAUUUCAACUCAUAUGAUCUGGCAAAGCUUCUCAAACUUGUUCCAGCCAACAGAGGUGUGUGA